rnacentral:rRNA from 1 species
GAUCCUGGCUCAGGAUGAACGCUAGCUACAGGCUUAACACAUGCAAGUCGAGGGGCAGCAUUGGAGUAGCAAUACUCAGAUGGCGACCGGCGCACGGGUGAGUAACACGUAUCCAACCUGCCGCUUACUCGGGGAUAGCCUUUCGAAAGAAAGAUUAAUACCCGAUGGUAUAAAGGAGUUCGCAUGUUCUCUUUAUUAAAGAAUUUCGGUAAGCGAUGGGGAUGCGUUCCAUUAGAUAGUUGGCGGGGUAACGGCCCACCAAGUCUACGAUGGAUAGGGGUUCUGAGAGGAAGGUCCCCCACAUUGGAACUGAGACACGGUCCAAACUCCUACGGGAGGCAGCAGUGAGGAAUAUUGGUCAAUGGACGAGAGUCUGAACCAGCCAAAGUAGCGUGAAGGAUGACUGCCCUAUGGGUUGUAAACUUCUUUUAUAAGGGAAUAAAGUGAGGGACGUGUCCCUUUUUGUAUGUACCUUAUGAAUAAGGAUCGGCUAACUCCGUGCCAGCCGCCGC